rnacentral:rRNA from 1 species
GAUGAACGCUAGCGGCAGGCUUAAUACAUGCAAGGCGAGGGGGCAGCAAUGUCACCGUCGUACGGGUGCGUAACGCGUAUGCAACCUACCUAUCACUGGGGGAUAGCCCGGGGAAACCCGGAUUAAUACCGCAUAACACAGGGGUCCCGCAUGGGUACUAUUUGUUAAAGAUUUAUCGGUGGUAGAUGGGCAUGCGUUCGAUUAGCUAGUUGGGAGGGUAACGGCCUACCAAGGCGACGAUCGAUAGGGGAGCUGAGAGGUUGAUCCCCCACACGGGCACUGAGAUACGGGCCCGACUCCUACGGGAGGCAGCAGUAGGGAAUAUUGGGCAAUGGAUGCAAGUCUGACCCAGCCAUGCCGCGUGCCGGAUGAAGGCCCUCAGGGUUGUAAACGGCUUUUAUUCGGGAAGAAGAGUAAGGAUGCGUCCUUAUGUGACGGUACCGAAUGAAUAAGCACCGGCUAACUCCGUG